rnacentral:rRNA from 1 species
UACGUAGGUGGCGAGCGUUGUCCGGAUUUAUUGGGUUUAAAGGGUGCGUAGGCGGUCCUAUAAGUCAGUGGUGAAAUAUCGCAGCUCAACUGUGAGGGUGCCAUUGAUACUGUAGGACUUGAGUGAAUUUGAGGUAGGCGGAAUUGACGGUGUAGCGGUGAAAUGCUUAGAUAUCGUCAAGAACACCGAUAGUGAAGACAGCUUACCAAGCUUCAACUGACGCUGAGGCACGAAAGUGUGGGGAUCAAACAGG